rnacentral:ncRNA from 1 species
AGAUUUUGUCAUAAAGCGUUACAAAGUAAAAAUAAAGAAAGCUCACUGAGA